rnacentral:rRNA from 1 species
UACGAGGGGUGCAAGCGUUGCUCGGAAUUAUUGGGCGUAAAGGGUAGGUAGGUGGUCUCAUUUGUCUAGGGUGAAAGCCUUGAGCUUAACUCAAGAAGUGCCCUAGAAACGGUGAGACUGGAGUCCUGGAGAGGGUCGUGGAAUUCCCGGUGUAGCGGUGAAAUGCGUAGAGAUCGGGAGGAACACCAGCGGCGAAGGCGGCGACCUGGACAGGUACUGACACUCAACUACGAAAGCGUGGGGAGCAAACAGG